UGCAUCAGUGGCAAACUUGCCACUUCAUGUACGCUCAGACACAGAUCACAUGUCUCUUGUCUUACUGUGCAGGGAGAAAGAUUUUAAAGAGUUUGGUCAUUCUAAUGUGUUCUCUGAAUUACUGGCAGACUUGAAAGAAUUGGAGGACAGUGGGAUUGUUGCAUCAGAUGAAACUAGAGUCAAAGGAACUUUGUUUUGCAUUGCUGGUGAUAAUCUGGGUUCUCACUGUAUUGGUGGCUUCACUGAAAACUUUAGUUCUUCAAAGUACUUCUGCAGGUACUGCCUGAUAACGAAAUCUGAAUUUCAGGGUGCUGACCCAAAUCUGUGUGGACCAGAACGUACCAAAGAGAACUACAACUCUGCUGUUGAUCGCCUCCAGAUUGACAAUACACCAGACGUCGAAGGAGUGAAGUUCAGACACUGAAUUUGAGCAGAAACCAUAAGGAUACGCAAAGGACCUGUGACUCUCAGGAAAUGCAUCAAAUGAGAGGGACAGAUGAAACAGUUUCAAGACAAUGGCAGGAAAAACAUGCUGAAGAUU